ACAUAUAAAUAUACAUAUACAAACAUACAUACAGAUACAUGUGUGUGUGUGUGUGUGUGUGUGUGUGUGUGU